rnacentral:ncRNA from 1 species
UGUCUUCGGGGCAGGGUGCAAGUCCCUACCGGCGGUAUAGUCCGCGACUUCUGAUAGAUUCAGAACUGAUCGGGUGCAAUUCCCGAACCGACGGUCACAGUCCGGAUGAAAGAAG